AAAAUAAUGUAUUUAGAAAUUUCUUUUCCGGGAUUAAAGUACACGCAUUAAUAUGUGUCUGUGAGAUGAAGUUUAUGCCGAGAAC